AGGCCUAACACAUGCAAGUCGAGCGCCCCGCAAGGGGAGCGGCAGACGGGAGAGUAACACGUGGGAACGUACCCUUCGGUUCGGAACAACCCAGGGAAACUUGGGCUAAUACCGGAUACGUCCGUAAGGAGAAAGAUUCAUCGCCGAGGGAUCGGCCCGCGUCUGAUUAGCUAGUUGGUGAGGUAAUGGCUCACCAAGGCGACGAUCAGUAGCUGGUCUGAGAGGAUGAUCAGCCUCACUGGGACUGAGACACGGCCCAG
rnacentral:rRNA from 1 species